UACUGAUGAUGAGAACAUUGAGCAAGUAACAACUUGAACCAUUCCCAAGCUUCAUGAAUUGGCUUGCCUUCCACUUGAGAGAAUGUAUAAAUCUUGUUUCUCAAAUC